rnacentral:rRNA from 1 species
GACGAACGCUGGCGGCGUGCUUAACACAUGCAAGUCGAACGGAAAGGCCCUGCUUUUGUGGGGUGCUCGAGUGGCGAACGGGUGAGUAACACGUGAGUAACCUGCCCUUGACUUUGGGAUAACUUCAGGAAACUGGGGCUAAUACCGGAUAGGAGCUCCUGCUGCAUGGUGGGGGUUGGAAAGUUUCGGCGGUUGGGGAUGGACUCGCGGCUUAUCAGCUUGUUGGUGGGGUAGUGGCUUACCAAGGCUUUGACGGGUAGCCGGCCUGAGAGGGUGACCGGCCACAUUGGGACUGAGAUACGACACAGAGUCCUACGGGAGGCAGCAGUGGGGAAUAUUGCACAAUGGGCGGAAGCCUGAUGCAGCAACGCCGCGUGCGGGAUGACGGCCUUCGGGUUGUAAACCGCUUUCGCCUGUGACGAAGCGUGAGUGACGGUAAUGGGUAAAGAAGCACCGGCUAACUACGUG